rnacentral:ncRNA from 1 species
AAAAUUGGUACAGACAAGGGGAAUCCAACUGUUUAAUUAAAAAAAAGCAUUGCAAUGGUCCCUGCAGAUGUUGACGCAAUGUGAUUUAUGCUCAGUGCUCUGCAUGUCAAAGUGAAAAAAUUCAACCAAGCACGGGUAAACGACGGGAGUAACUAUGACUCUCUUAAGGUAUUCAGUUGCCUCGUCAUCUAAUUAGUGACACACAUGAAUGGAUUAACAAGAUUCCCACUUUCCCUGGCUACUAUCUAGAGAAACCAUGGCCAAGGGAAUGGGAUUGGCAGCAUUAGUGGGGAAAGAAGACACUAUUGAUCUUGAAUCUAGUCCAAAUUUGUGAAUUGACUUGAAAGUUGUAGAAUAAGUGGGAGCCAUUUUCAGCGCAAGUGAAAUACCACUACUUUUAAUGUUAUUUUACUUAUUUUCUGGGGAAGAGGCGAGGAAUUUCACACAUGCUAAAAUAUAAUGCACAUUUCCUCAAAGUAUUGUCAUUAAUGGCAAUGGUCGAGAGCUCAUUCUUCAUGCACUUGAUGGCAAUGAGUUUAGGAAACCAAAAAGGAUCAUUGCUUUUAAGGACCAAGAAAGUUCCUACAAUCCCUAUGU